GGAGUUAUGGCUCAGUGGUAAAGCACUUGCCUAGCAUGCAUGAGACACUGGGUUUGUUCCCCAACACCA
rnacentral:tRNA from 1 species